UCAGGCUUAUAAAAUAGGUGCCAUCAUUCCCAUUUUACAGAUGAGAAAGCUGAGGCACAGUGAGAUUAAGGAACUUGUCCAAAGUUGCUCAGCUGGUAAGGGCUGGAAGAGCCAGGAUUUGCACCCAGGGCAUCAGUUUGACCCACACUGCUGCUUUGUGACACUUGGACACCUGGGUCAGGAACUCAGUGGGGGACCUGGGUUUUAACCAUAGAUAUGGAGUCAUCUGAAGCUGGGACAGCACUGAGGCCUGGGGAGCCAGCAGGGAGCAUUCCCAGUGUCACACUUGUCCUUUGGAUGACUAAUCAGGGGUAACUACAACCAAGUUCUGACUUGUUAAGGUCAGAGAAUUCUGGAGUGAGGAAGACAGCAGAAUGACAGAGAAGCUCUUAGCCUGCAGUCCUUUCUGUAGACCACUUAGCACUGCUGUCUGUUGGGGCCUUGGCGUUCCUCUUCCCACACAGAUAGCCAUCGUCUGUUAAAGCAGAACACGGGAGCGCGCUCCAGUACAAAGACAAACUAUGUACAGACACCCGGGAAGCAACCA